rnacentral:rRNA from 1 species
CCAAUCGAACCCGGAGAUAGCUGGUUCUCCUCGAAAUAGCUUUAGGGCUAGCCUCAUACAAGUCUGCCGGAGGUAGAGCACUGAAUUUCCGCGGGGGCGUCAAAGCCUACCAAAGAAUAUCAAACUCCGAAUGCCGGACAGAUGGUGUAUGGGAGUCAGACUGUACGAGAUAAGUUGGACAGUCAAAAGGGAAAGAGCCCAGACCGCCGGCUAAGGUCCCAAAGUGGGUGUUAAGUGGAAAAGGAUGUGGGAUCUCUAAGACAACCAGGAUGUUGGCUCAGAAGCAGCCAUUCAUUAAAAGAGUGCGUAACAGCUCACUGGUCGAGAGGUCCUGCGCCGAAAAUGUCCGGGGCUGAAACACCACACCGAAGCCGCGGAACCCGUAAGGGUUGGUAGAGGAGCAUUCUUAGGGGAGCGAAGCAUUACCGGAAGGGGAUGUGGACCGCUAAGAAGAGAGAAUGCCGGAAUGAGUAGCGAGAGCAAGGUGGGAAUCCUUGCGGCCGAAUAUCCAAGGUUUCCAGAGUAAAGCUGAUCUGCUCUGGGUAAGUCGGGGCCUAAGGAGAGGCAGAGAUGCGUAUCCGAUGGACAGCAGGUUUAAGAUUCCUGCACCCCUUGUUAUCAGAACUGCGGGGACACGGGAAGGGAAGCAGAGCCGGGAAUGGAAAGCCCGGUGCAAGCGAAGUAGUCGCAGGGCUGGAAAAUCCGCCCUGCAUAAGACGAAGGCGUGAUGCGGAGCGAAAUGAAGUAGUGAAGCUGCGGCCCCUUCCUGUCGAGAAAAGCCGCUAUCGUGUAGCAAGGGCCCGUACCGUAAACCGACACAGGUGGAUGAGGAGAGGAUCCUAAGGCCGGCGGGAGAAGUGUUGUUAAGGAACUCGGCAAAAUGACUCCGUAACUUCGGGAGAAGGAGUGCUGCGCAAGCAGCCGCAGAGAAAUGGCCCAAGCAACUGUUUAGCAAAAACACAGGUCUAUGCGAAACCGAAAGGUGAGGUAUAUGGGCUGACGCCUGCCCGGUGCUGGAAGGUUAAGGGGAGAGGUUAGCGCAAGCGAAGCUUUGAACUUAAGCCCCAGUAAACGGCGGCCGUAACUAUAACGGUCCUAAGGUAGCGAAAUUCCUUGUCGGGUAAGUUCCGACCCGCACGAAAGGCGUAAUGAUUUGGGCACUGUCUCAACAAUGCACCCGGUGAAAUUGAAAUACCAGUGAAGAUGCUGGUUACCUGCGCCAGGACGGAAAGACCCCAUGGAGCUUUACUCCAGCUUGAUACUGGGAUUCGGUAUUGCAUGUACAGGAUAGGUGGGAGGCUAGGAAGUGGUAACGCCAGUUGCCAUGGAGCCGCUGUUGGGAUACCACCCUUGCAGUACUGGGUUUCUAACCAGCAGCCGUGACCCGGCUGGGGGACAAUGUCAGGUGGGGAGUUUGACUGGGGCGGUCGCCUCCGAAAGGGUAUCGGAGGCGCUCAAAGGUUCCCUCAGAAUGGUUGGAAACCAUUCGAAGAGUGCAAAGGCAGAAGGGAGCUUGACUGCGACACCGACGG